rnacentral:rRNA from 1 species
GACGAACGCUGGCGGCGUGCCUAAUACAUGCAAGUUGAGCGCUGAAGGUUGGUACUUGUACCGACUGGAUGAGCAGCGAACGGGUGAGUAACGCGUGGGGAAUCUGCCUUUGAGCGGGGGACAACAUUUGGAAACGAAUGCUAAUACCGCAUAAAAACUUUAAACACAAGUUUUAAGUUUGAAAGAUGCAAUUGCAUCACUCAAAGAUGAUCCCGCGUUGUAUUAGCUAGUUGGUGAGGUAAAGGCUCACCAAGGCGAUGAUACAUAGCCGACCUGAGAGGGUGAUCAGCCACAUUGGGACUGAGACACGGCCCAAACUCCUACGGGAGGCAGCAGUAGGGAAUCUUCGGCAAUGGACGAAAGUCUGACCGAGCAACGCCGCGUGAGUGAAGAAGGUUUUCGGAUCGUAAAACUCUGUUGGUAGAGAAGAACGUUGGUGAGAGUGGAAAGCUCAUCAAGUGACGGUAACUACCCAGAAAGGGACGGCUAACUACGUG